UUUCUCUUGAGGAUUACAAGAGUGGUUC
rnacentral:piRNA from 1 species